rnacentral:rRNA from 1 species
GACGAACCGUGCGAACGUUGUUCGGAUUCACUGGGCUUAAAGGGCGCGUAGGCGGCUUAUCAAGUCAGGGGUGAAAUCCGGCAGCUUAACUGUCGAAGUGCCCUUGAUACUGAUGAGCUCGAGGGAGAUAGGGGUGUGUGGAACUUCCGGUGGAGCGGUGAAAUGCGUUGAUAUCGGAAGGAACGCCGGUGGCGAAAGCGACACACUGGAUCUCUUCUGACGCUGAGGCGCGAAAGCCAGGGGAGCAAACGGG